AGAAUCAACGCUGGCGGCGUGCCUAACACAUGCAAGUCGAACGAGAAAGUGGAGCAAUCCAUGAGUACAGUGGCGUACGGGUGAGUAACACGUGACUACCUACCCUCGAGUGGGGAAUAACCUCGGGAAACCGGGGCUAAUACCGCAUAACAUCUACGGAUCAAAUGCGUAAGCAGCUUGAGGAGGGGGUCGCGGCCGAUUAGCUAGUUGGUGAGGUAAUGGCUCACCAAGGCAAUGAUCGGUAGCCGGCCUGAGAGGGCGCACGGCCACACUGGAACUGAAACACGGUCCAGACUCCUACGGGAGGCAGCAGUGGGGAAUUUUGCGCAAUGGGGGGAAACCCUGACGCAGCAACGCCGCGUGGAGGAUGAAGCCCCGUUGGGGUGUAAACUCCUUUCGAUCGGGACGAUUAUGACGGUACCGGAAGAAGAAGCGAACCGGCUAACUCUGCGCCAGCAGCCGC
rnacentral:rRNA from 1 species